GACGAACGCUGGCGGCGUGCUUAACACAUGCAAGUCGAACGGAAAGGCCCCUUUGGGGGUACUCGAGUGGCGAACGGGUGAGUAACACGUGAGUAACCUGCCCUUGACUUCGGGAUAACUUCAGGAAGCUGGGGCUAAUACCGGAUAGGAAUCCUUGCUGCAUGGUGGGGGUUGGAAAGCUUCGGCGGUUUUGGAUGGACUCGCGGCUUAUCAGCUUGUUGGUGGGGUAGUGGCUUACCAAGGCUUUGACGGGUAGCCGGCCUGAGAGGGCGACCGGCCACAUUGGGACUGAGAUACGGCCCAGACUCCUACGGGAGGCAGCAGUGGGGAAUAUUGCACAAUGGGCGGAAGCCUGAUGCAGCAACGCCGCGUGCGGGAUGACGGCCUUCGGGUUGUAAACCGCUUUCAGCAGGGGCGAAGCUUGUGGUGACGGUACCUGCAGAAGAAGCACCGGCUAACUACGUG
rnacentral:rRNA from 1 species